ensembl:lncRNA
GCUGCAGAGCUACACACCUAGGAAGGAAUAACCACAACUACCAGUACAGGGACACAAGCUGCUGGAGGAGCUGAAAGAGCCAAUGCAACUCUAGGGUGCAUCAGAAGGAAUGCAGCCAGCAGGUCCAGGGAGGUGAUCCUCCCCCUCUGCUCUGCCCCGGUCCAGCCCUCACCUGCAGUACUGCAUCCCAUUCCAGGCUCCUCAGUACAAACAAAGAGAGGGAUCUCCUGGAAGGAGUCCGGCAGAAGGCCACAAAGACGAUGCAGGGCCUGGAGCACCUCUAUGAUGCAGUUUGCAGAGGGGUUAACUUCAUUACCUCCGGAGGUCCCUUCCAGCACCUACAAUCCUGUGGUUCUGUGAACAAAAUUCAUGAGUAAAACUAAAGAUUCACACCGCCACAUCCCAGUGCUCGUCUCUGCAGUCCCAGUGCAGCGGGAACCUUGCAUCUCUGGGCUGAUCCCUGCUGCAAAGCGCCUUACCUUGCAACAGCUUUUUGGGGAAAUCAAAAAGAUAAAAGCACAGCAAGUGAUUUAAAGCACUGCUUUCAACUUAGCUGUCCCUGGCAUUGCUUCUUACUCCCGGCAGCAAUAGGGCUGGGGAGGGGACAACCGUGGUUCCAUCCUGCACGCCCCUGCUGCUGCAACCAAGGGGGGCAGUGGGCACCCCCAGGGCUGUGCUCAGCCUCGGGGAGUCCAGUAGAACCCAGAAAAAGAAGAUGGGGAGCCCAGCAGCAGCACUGCAUCGACCCCAAUAGAAGGGCAGAAGGAUCCUCCUGCUGCAAGCAAAGAGCCCCCGAGGUCUGGGCACGAGGGAACGUGCUCUCCCGGACCCCCGGGACUCAGCUCCACGCUCCCAUCGCUGCCACAGCCGCUCGGUACUGCGGGCUGAUCCUCGCUGGAGCUCUCGCCCUGCAAGAGAGAAACAAAAAGGAGAGAGAACAAACGUGAUUAAAUGGAUAUCCCCAGCAUUUGGGGUUUUGAAAGCAGCCCCUUGCGAACCUUCUGACCCCCAGCAGCUCCGGGCUAAGGGGCACAGCUCCGUUCUGCUCUCCUCCGUUGCUGCAGCACCUGCAAACUGCCCUUAACUAACCCCACAAAGGGGCUAGGAGAGCUGCUUUGCAAAAGUGCUGCAUAGGCUCUAAGGAGCAGAGGGGAGCCAAGAGCAGCCCUGUGCUGGACCCAAAGAGGGCAGGGGCACCAACAGCAAUCCCAUACCACCACCAAAAAGAAGAAAACACAGCCAGAGCCCAGCAGGGCCACCCCACGCUGACUCCAAAAGAGCAGAGGAGCCCAGCAGAAACAGACCCCAAAAAAGCCCAGCAGAAGCCCAGCACCCUCCCCAAAAAGAGAGAGCAGCGUGGGAGCCUGGCAGCAUGCUGCAGCAAGCCCUGAAUGAGCCCCUGAGCUCCCAGCAGCCCCCAGUGGAUCCCAGCAAGCUCUGGUGGGGGUUUAAGAGGCGUUGAGGGCGGGCCCUGCCCUGAGCUGCCGAUAAGGCGCAGCUGUGCUAGGGCAGCCCAGCCCUGUGGCACCUGGGGGCCUCAUUAGGGCCCACCCGGGGCCCUGACAGCUGUGCUGACGAUGCUGGGCUUGGCUCCCCCUGACGCCGACGUCCCUGGGCGUGCGAUGCCACGCUGACCCCAAGAGCUGGAGGAGCCCAGCAGUGCAACAACCGCCCCUACAAUGGGCUCUCGAGAGCCAUGCCGUGCAGGUUGCAGGUCGCGAGUUGAGGGCAGGACUUCACGUGCAACUAUUUCAAGACGCAGAGCGGAUUUCUGCUCUCCCACGCAGUGCGAGAGCUUUCACUUUCCAAUUGCAUCACUAGGAUAGAACCCCACAUCCCCCACUUUACAGACGCCCAGCCUCUCCGUUUGCUCUCGUGAAGGGGACGCCGUGGCUCCCCUGUGCCCUUCUAUUCCUGCGUGCAUCCUGCUCCCUGCCAGCUGUCCAAACGAGAGGGAUCAUCAAAGCCCCUCUGCGGCGCUGCUCUUUGUAGAUGAGGGAACAAAGCCACGAUGAGCAUCCAUCGCUGCAAAUUGAGUGCGACUCCUUGAAAUGAGUUUACCACCAGCGCUCAGAAUCUCCUCUCUGAAAGCAGCAAACGGGCGCUAAUUAGCUUCUCAGGCUCGCUGUCGUGCAGAGAUGCUGGCCGGCACCUCCAGACCCAGCCCGACGGAACCCAGCUCCGACGUGGGGCAGGGCUGGCUCUGCUGGGGACAGGUGUUGCUGGGUGCGUUUCAAAGCACGGCGGGUUGAGGGGGGAGUUCUGUCUGUUACAUUCACGUGCUUGAGCAAAGCGUUGGCCUACGGCGGCAGAGAAGCCGUCCGGAGUGAUGCUGAUGCAUCUCUGCAACCCUAACGUUAUGGGAUGGCGGGGUCUGUCUGACAACCUGCGGUCCGGCGGUGCUGCCGGCUCCUCCUUACGCCUGCACUCUCUGCACCUGCCCCUCGUGCUCCUUUGCAGCUCUGCGGGACCCGGGAGGGCUCAGUGCUGCUGCUCCCCCGGCACGGAGCAGCUGGAGCGGGAGCCGGGGUGCUCUGCGAAGCGAGGUGGCUUCUCGCUCGAUGUUCCCUUUGUUCCGUAGCACAUAACGGGGCUCUUCUAGUCCCCAGCCCCGCGCUGGAGCUUCUGCUUUCCCUGGGGGGGGGGCCGAGUCCCGCAGCGGUGUUUCUAGGCAGGAAGAAAGGUGAGCCUGUCAGGGUGGACAAAGCCGGCUGUGCUCUGCGCUCACGCAGCACCCCUGCAGCAACACAGCGGCCGAGCAGCGCCUCGAGGGAAAGGAGAAGGCCUCCGAUCAGACCUCAGAGCCGACAGCAGCGUGCAGGAUGGAGUUGGCCCCCGGGGUGUCUAAAGAGAGCCAUGAGGUUGGAAGCGACCUCAAAGGUCAUCCAGCCCAACGGCCCGCCUGCCGCCAAUGCUGCCCACGUCCCCCCGUGCCGCGUCUCGCGCCACCAGGGAUGG